UUUAAAUUGCUCUCUCUAGUCUUAUCAAUUAACAAAUCCCAAAAUUCUCACAUUCAAAACUUUAUCCUCACCAUCAAUUCCUCUUUAGCUUUCUAUCUUCUCUCUUCUUGUCUUCAGUCUGAUACUUUGUUCCUUUUUCGUCUCUUUCUUCAUUUUGGUUAGCUCCAAGAAUGCCUACAAAACAUCUCUUCGAAAAUGCAUGAUUCAACUUUUAUUCCAGAAAAAUCUAAUGCCAGCGAUUAGUAGGAUAUUGAUUUCGAGAUUAGAGAGGGUGUUGGUUUUAGGACAUAAAUUUUGGGAUUGGAGAAGCUUCUAAGUGGGUCAAGGGGAAGCAAUUGGAAGAAGUUGUGGCCAUUAAAAACACCAAGAGAUGUUGAGAGUACAAGAUGAGCAUUGUAGCACUCCUAAAGCACAGCCUUUGACCGAAGAGGAGAUAUCUAUGAUGGUUCUUAAGCUGAGAUCUGGCUAUGUAAAGGGACUUGGCAUGAGGCCUUCCUCAUUUCUUAGGACUCCUGCUCAUCUUCCUCAACUCAGUAUAUUCAACAACUCGAGGGUCGAGUAGUAGAGCUCUAGGAUGCAAACUUUAGGCUAGAGGAGAAGAUGGAUUGCAUCAUACAAUAUUUGAGGAGCAAGAGUGACAGUGACAUUUGUGGCAGUGUGGGGAGCUCAUCUACUAACUAGAACACACCUUGGUUAGUGUUUUAUUUUCCUGCCUAAAAGCAUUAGUAUUGGGGUUUGUAUAUGGUAUAUGUUGCUAUAUUUUAGCAUAAAAACACAAAAACUAGCAUUACCCGGUCUCUCAAUUGUAAAAA